rnacentral:rRNA from 1 species
UACGUAGGGGGCAAGCGUUAUCCGGAUUUACUGGGCGUAAAGCGCGCGUAGGCGGAAGUUUAAGUCUGGCCUGAAAGCCCCGGGCUCAACCUGGGAACUGCGUUUGGAACUACAAGACUAGAGUGUGUCAGAGGGGGGUGGAAUUCCGCGUGUAGCAGUGAAAUGCGUAGAGAUGCGGAGGAACACCGAUGGCGAGGGCAGCCCCCUGGGAUAACACUGACGCUCAUGCACGAAAGCGUGGGGAGCAAACAGGAUUAGAACCUACGGUAGU